UUAAAUUGAAGAGUUUGAUCAUGGCUCAGAUUGAACGCUGGCGGCAGGCCUAACACAUGCAAGUCGAACGGUAACAGGAAGAAGCUUGCUUCUUUGCUGACGAGUGGCGGACGGGUGAGUAAUGUCUGGGAAACUGCCUGAUGGAGGGGGGUAACUACUGGAAACGGUAGCUAAAACC
rnacentral:rRNA from 1 species